CGUUGAAACACAUGUUCCGGUAAAAUCACUGAAGUUAAGCAACGUCCAGUCUGGUUAGUACCUAGAUGUGUGACCGCUUGGGAAUACCAGGUGGUGUAAG